GUGCUUGCUCUCAGCACAUAUACUAAAAUUGGAACGAUACAGAGAAUAUUAGCAUGGCUCCUGCAAAAGGAUGACAUGCAAAUUUGUGAAGCUACCAUAUUUUU